ACUCAAAGGAAUAGACGGGGGCCCGCACAAGCGGCGGAGCAUGUUGCUUAAUUCGACGCAACGCGAAGAACCUUACCAAGGCUUGACAUCGCCGGAAAACUCGCAGAGAUGUGAGGUCCUUUUAGGGUCGGUGACAGGUGGUGCAUGGCUGUCGUCAGCUCGUGUCGUGAGAUGUUGGGUUAAGUCCCGCAACGAGCGCAACCCUCGUUCCAUGUUGCCAGCACGUUAUGGUGGGGACUCAUGGGAGACUGCCGGGGUCAACUCGGAGGAAGGUGGGGAUGACGUCAAGUCAUCAUGCCCCUUAUGUCUUGGGCUGCAAACAUGCUACAAUGGCCGGUACAGAGGGUUGCGAUACCGUGAGGUGGAGCGAAUCCCUUAAAGCCGGUCUCAGUUCGGAUCGAAGUCUGCAACUCGACUUCGUGAAGUCGGAGUCGCUAGUAAUCGCAGAUCAGCAACGCUGCGGUGAAUACGUUCCCGGGCCUUGCACACACCGCCCGU
rnacentral:rRNA from 1 species